rnacentral:rRNA from 1 species
UACGUAGGGUGCGAGCGUUAAUCGGAAUUACUGGGCGUAAAGCGUGCGCAGGCGGUUUUGUAAGCCAGAUGUGAAAUCCCCGGGCUCAACCUGGGAAUGGCAUUUGGGACUGCAAGGCUGGAGUUUGGCUGAGGAGACUGGAAUUCCCGGUGUAGCAGUGAAAUGCGUAGAUAUCGGGAGGAAUACCGAUGGCGAAGGCAGGUCUCUGGGCUAUAACUGACGCUCAUGCACGAAAGCGUGGGGAGCAAACAGG